rnacentral:rRNA from 1 species
GAUGAACGCUAGCUACAGGCUUAACACAUGCAAGUCGAGGGGAAACGACAUCGAAAGCUUGCUUUUGAUGGGCGUCGACCGGCGCACGGGUGAGUAACGCGUAUCCAACCUGCCCAUCACUUGGGAAUAACCUUGCGAAAGUAAGACUAAUACCCAAUGACAUCCCACGAAGACAUCUGAAUGGGAUUAAAGAUUUAUCGGUGAUGGAUGGGGAUGCGUCUGAUUAGCUUGUUGGCGGGGUAACGGCCCACCAAGGCAACGAUCAGUAGGGGUUCUGAGAGGAAGGGCCCCCACAUUGGAACUGAGACACGGUCCAAACUCCUACGGGAGGCAGCAGUGAGGAAUAUUGGUCAAUGGGCGAGAGCCUGAACCAGCCAAGUAGCGUGCAGGAUGACGGCCCUAUGGGUUGUAAACUGCUUUUAUAAGGGAAUAAAGUGGGUCUCGUGAGACUUUUUGCAUGUACCUGAUGAAUAAGGACCGGCUAAUUCCGUG